rnacentral:rRNA from 1 species
GCAGGCUGAAACUCGCCUGUAUGAAGAUGGAGUUGCUAGUAAUCGCGAAUCAGAAUGUCGCGGUGAAUACGUUCCCGGGUCUUGUACACACCGCCCGUCACACCAUGAGAGUUGGCAACACCCGAAACCUGUGGGCUAACCGAAAGGAGGCAGCAGUCUAAGGUGGGGUCAGUGAUUGGGGUGAAGUCGUAACAAGGUAAC